rnacentral:rRNA from 1 species
UACAGAGGGUGCGAGCGUUGUCCGGAAUCACUGGGCGUAAAGGGCGCGUAGGUGGCUUGCUAAGCGUGUGGUGAAAGCCCGGGGCUCAACCCCGGGUCGGCCGUGCGAACUGGCGAGCUGGAGCACUGUAGAGGCAGGUGGAAUUCCGGGUGUAGCGGUGAAAUGCGUAGAGAUCAGGAAGAACAUCGGUGGCGAAGGCGCUCUGCUGGACCAUAACUGACACUCAGGGACGAAAGCUAGGGGAGCGAAUGGG